CCUACGGGAGGCUGCAGUGGGGAAUAUUGGACAAUGGGCGAAAGCCUGAUCCAGCAAUGCCGCGUGAGUGAUGAAGGCCUUAGGGUUGUAAAGCUCUUUUACCAGGGAUGAUAAUGACAGUACCUGGAGAAUAAGCUCCGGCUAACUCCGUGCCAGCAGCCGCGGUAAUACGGAGGGAGCUAGCGUUGUUCGGAAUUACUGGGCGUAAAGCGUGCGUAGGCGGCGACUCAAGUCAGAGGUGAAAGCCCGGGGCUCAACCCCGGAACUGCCUUUGAAACUAGGUUGCUAGAAUAUCGGAGAGGUGAGUGGAAUUCCGAGUGUAGAGGUGAAAUUCGUAGAUAUUCGGAAGAACACCAGUGGCGAAGGCGGCUCACUGGACGAUUAUUGACGCUGAGGCACGAAAGCGUGGGGAGCAAACAGGAUUAGAUACCCUGGUAGUC
rnacentral:rRNA from 1 species